rnacentral:rRNA from 1 species
UACGGAGGAUCCAAGCGUUAUCCGGAUUUAUUGGGUUUAAAGGGUGCGUAGGUGGCCUGGUAAGUCAGGGGUGAAAGACGGUAGCUUAACUAUCGCAGUGCCUUUGAUACUGCCGGGCUUUGAAUGAACUAGAGGUAGGCGGAAUGUGACAAGUAGCGGUGAAAUGCAUAGAUAUGUCACAGAACACCGAUUGCGAAGGCAGCUUACUAUGGUUUUAUUGACACUGAGGCACGAAAGCGUGGGGAUCAAACAGG